rnacentral:misc_RNA from 1 species
AGCAGCCGCGGUAAUUCCAGCUCCAAUAGCGUAUAUUAAAGUUGUUGCAGUUAAAAGCUCGUAGUUGAAUUUCGGGAUCAAAGAAUCGGUCAUGCCUUGGUAUGUACUGGUUUUAUUGGUUCUCACCUUCUAAAGAACCAUGAUGUCAUUCAUUUGAUGUUAUGGGGAAUUAGGACUGUUACCUUGAAAAAUUAGAGUGUUUAAAGCAAGCUUACGCUUGAAUACAUUAGCAUGGAAUAAUGAAAUAGGACAUCAGAUUCUAUUUUGUUGGUUUCUAGGAUCGAUGUAAUGAUUAAUAGGGAUAGUUGGGGGCAUUAGUAUUCAAUUGUCAGAGGUGAAAUUCUUGGAUUUUAUUGAAGACUAACUACUGCGAAAGCAUUUGCCAAGGAUGUUUUCAUUAAUCAAGAACGAAAGUUAGGGGAUCGAAGACGAUCAGAUACCGUCGUAGUCUUAACCAUAAACCUAUGCCGACUAGGGAUCGGAUGAUGUUUAAUUUUUAUGUACUCAUUCC